AAAAAAAAAAAAAAAAAAAAAAAAACCCGAUUGAAAUCGAUGAUUUGGGCCGAAUUGAACCGAAUCAAACCGGUUCGACCCGAACCAUCUAGAAAACUCUCUUUUUCUUUUAUCUUCAACGCCAAGCUCACUUUCCCCCUCCCCAGCUCACCUCCACUCCAUCGCCAUUGCCACCACAGCGCCACUGCCACCACCCCCUCUCCCUCUCCUUCUUCCUCUCCUUCUUCUUCUUCUUCUUCUUCUUCUUUUUCUUCUUUUUCCUUUUUCCCUUCCCUCUUUCCCUUCUUCCUCACUGCGCCUGUGUUCCUGGCGAGACAGCAACAGCUCACGCCACCCACGCCGCACGCCACCCAGUCCUCGCCGCCACAGCCCUUGCUGCAGUCCAGCGUCGCAGCAGCUCUGCCAGCAGUCCCUCUUUGUUCUCGGCCAAACUUUGCAGCGCAGCACAGUUUCCUGCUCCCGAUCGGCGAGACGCAGCGCCUCCUCCACUUGGCCACGCCAUCUCCACCGCCUAGCCGCCGCUCCAGCACGCCUCCGACCACCAACAGCCGCUGCUCCCCGAUCCGGCAUGCUUGGGUACUUCCAGUCUAGCUGAAAUUCAAAAAAAAAUAAAUAUUGGGUAUGGUGAAUACUAGGAGGAGAACAUCCGGAAAUACGGAGCGAGCAGCUCCAGACGAAGCCUCUUCCGGGCAUCCAGUCAACCCGAGACACCGAAGAGGCAGACGUAAUCGCAAUGAAAAUAAUCAGGAGGAAGGUAUCCAGGAAAUUCAUGACGAGGAAAACGUGACUGAAAAUCCUGCAGGAAUGAGCACACUAAUGUCUGGACUUCAGCGAGCUAUAGCGGCUAUGAACGACAUGUUGAUACAGCAACAGCAGUUCUUUCAGACUCAACAGCAACAGUUCUUUUCAGACUCGAACAGCAACAGCAUUCUUUCAGGGGACUCAACAGCAACAGCAACAACAGAUGCCAUCCACCCUAUGCCUGACCCAGCAACACAACCAUUUCAGCCGGCUCCACCAACUACUGUUCCGAGAGCUGCUAAUGAUAACCUUUAUGAUAGGUUCAUUCGUUAUAAACCACCUAAGUUUACAGGCACUGAAGAUGCUCAUUCCUUUCUAGCCAGAAUCAGAGAGUUCUGCACUGAGUUGGGUUGUGAUGACGAGAGAUCCAUCAUAUUUGCCGGCCGCCGAAUGGAGGGUAUGGCUGAAAUGUGGUUUAGAGAUUAUGUUUUGCCUAUGGUUAAAGGGAUGUAUUGGCAGCAAUUUUCUUCUCUCUUUAUUGACCGUUUCAUACCAGAAGGAACUAGGAGGGCCAAAAUGAGGGAAUUUGAGUCCUUGGUUCAGGGAAAUUUGUCUAUAGAUGAGUAUGCUACCAGAUUCUUAGAAUUGAGCAGGUAUGCUCCAGGGUCUGUACCUGAUGAGGCCACAAAGGUAUACAGAUUUAUCAGUGGGUUGAAUGCUGUGUACGACUCUAUUCCAGCAGAGGGGACAAGAUUUUAAUGCUGUGGUAGAUCUAGCCAGACAAAUGGAGACUAAAUACAUUUCUGAUGGAGUCAUCUCAGGCAGAAAGGGUAAUAGAACUGUAGCUCCGCUUGAGACUCUAGGCAUAUCAGGGAUGAGUGGAUCCUUCGUUAUGGGUGCUCAGUCUUCGAGUUCUCGCCUCCAAAGCAGAGGAAGUUUUGGUAGAAGAAAAGAUAAAAGGAGACAGUGGCCAAGAAAGGGUACUCAUUCAGGUGGUUCCAGUAGUGGUCAUAGUUCAGGUAGCAGCAGACCGACAGCAGACAGACCGAGUGUGACUGUCUGUCGCAGGUGUGGCAAGGCUCACAAAGGAGACUGCGAUCUUGAUCCUAAUGCCUGUUUUAGGUGUCAUCAGAUGGGACACUAUGCUAGAGACUGUCCAUUUUCUCUGUCACGAUAUGUGCCACCCCAGUCUUCCAUGGGUAGUGUGUUCAAACCUCCUUUCUCUACACCGCCAGCUUCUGGUACUAGACUUCUUGGCCAGCAGGGCCGUGGUUCUAUUGGUAGGGGCAGAGGCCAGAGUUCAGGACAGAAUUUACAUGCCGCGGGAGCACAGCCCCGACUUUUCCAUUUGACUCCGGGAGAUGCUCAGGCAUCUAAUGCCGUGGUGGCAGAUCGCCCGGGUCCAUUUAGUGUUCCUCCAGGACAGAAUCAAAGCUAGAACCUUGCUCUCCAUCACUGUGAGUAAUAAUGAAUAAUGCACAUCAACACUGCAUCUACAUAACACUUAUUUAUAAACAUUACAUUUUUUUUCAUAUUUACAACAUAUUAUGAGUAUUUUAUCAUAUAUAUAUUAUGUUUCGAUCAUUAU